GAUGAACGCUAGCGGCAGGCCUAACACAUGCAAGUCGAGGGAGGAGCUUUCGGGCUUCGACCGGCGUACGGGUGCGUAACGCGUAUACAAUCUGCCUUUCACAUAGGGAUAGCCCGAAGAAAUUUGGAUUAAUACCUAAUGGUAUAUAGAGGUGGCAUCACCUUUAUAUUAAAGCUGAGGCGGUGAAAGAUGAGUAUGCGUUCUAUUAACUAGUUGGAGAGGUAACGGCUCCCCAAGGCGACGAUAGAUAGGGGUUCUGAGAGGGAUAUCCCCCACACUGGUACUGAGAUACGGACCAGACUCCUACGGGAGGCAGCAGUGAGGAAUAUUGGACAAUGGUCGGAAGACUGAUCCAGCCAUGCCGCGUGCAGGAAGACGGCCUUAUGGGUUGUAAACUGCUUUUGCAGGGGAAGAAUAAGGACUACGCGUAGUUUGAUGACGGUACUCUGCGAAUAAGCAUCGGCUAACUCCGUG
rnacentral:rRNA from 1 species